rnacentral:misc_RNA from 1 species
GCCUACUAAGAAGAAGACAAGAAAGGGAAAAUUCAAGAUAAACAAGUCUGCUGUAGCUUUUGCCUUGGGUUUGAGUCUUGCUGGUGCUGGUUUGUUACUUGGUUGGACCAUGGGAUGGCUAUUUCCUGCCCUCUAAACCAUCUUUCUGGUUCGCUUAGAUUCACGUAGGUAUGUUUCAUGCGUUUUCUAUCAGACCACGUCGAAGAUAUAAUAUUCUAGUAGAUAGGAUUGCAUAUUCU